UACGGGGGGGGCAAGCGUUGUUCGGAAUUACUGGGCGUAAAGGGCUCGUAGGCGGCCAACUAAGUCAGACGUGAAAUCCCUCGGCUUAACCGGGGAACUGCGUCUGAUACUGGAUGGCUUGAGUGUGGGAGAGGGAUGCGGAAUUCCAGGUGUAGCGGUGAAAUGCGCAGAUAUCAGGAGGAACACCAAGGGCGAAGGCAGCACUCUGGGACGUGACUGACGCUGAGGCGCGAAAGCCAGGGGAGCAAACGGG
rnacentral:rRNA from 1 species